UACGGGGGGGGCAAGCGUUGUUCGGAAUUACUGGGCGUAAAGGGCUCGUAGGCGGCCAACUAAGUCAGACGUGAAAUCCCUCGGCUUAACCGGGGAACUGCGUCUGAUACUGGAUGGCUUGAGAUUGGGAGAGGGAUGCGGAAUUCCAGGUGUAGCGGUGAAAUUCGUAGAUAUCGGGAGGAACACCAGUGGCGAAGGCGGCGAUCUGGGAAGAUACUGACGCUGAGGUGCGAAAGCGUGGGGAGCAAACAGG
rnacentral:rRNA from 1 species